rnacentral:rRNA from 1 species
UACGGAGGAUCCGAGCGUUAUCCGGAUUUAUUGGGUUUAAAGGGUGCGUAGGCGGGCUUUUAAGUCAGCGGUGAAAGUUUGGCGCUCAACGUUAAAAUUGCCGUUGAUACUGGGGGCCUUGAGUGCGGUUGAGGUAGGCGGAAUGUGGUGUGUAGCGGUGAAAUGCUUAGAUAUGCCACAGAACACCGAUUGCGAAGGCAGCUUACUAAAGCGCAACUGACGCUGAUGCACGAAAGCGCGGGGAU